AGCACUUUUGGAUAAAUAUAUUUGGAACAGAAGACCAAGUGCAGUAAGAGUGUCCGAACAGAGUGAUGAAGAUGAAUAAACAGCAGAAACCAGAAGAAAAGCUUGACUCAGACAUGAACACUACCACUCUACUUGAGGAUACCAGAAAGGAUCAGCAAGUUUAUGGAGGAGAAAAUGUGAAACAUGAAGAUGACUUACUGAGUCAAGCAACACCCAUCAACUGGCGAGUAGAAGUUAUCAGAACAAGCAACACAGGCACUUUAAAUCAUGUCACAAUGAGAAAAGUCCCCUCCUCCGCUUCUCUAAAAGAGGAAAACAUUCAUUAAUAAUGAAUCAGGACUCCUGGUGUCAACACCACAAACCCCUUUAAUGCAUACCUUAUAGUAAUUGUAACCAGGCCUAACCAUGUGUCAUUAUUGAACAUUUACAGAUGAUUAUUGAUUAUGUGAGCAGUAAAGAUGAUGACAUUACUGUACAUGGUGUCCCAUACAUUUCCAUACACAGGAAAAAUUUACCUUUUUUUAUCUAAAAAAACAACCCAACAUGUUUUCUGGCCAUCAGGAUUAUUUAAAAGUGUUGGUCUUUAUUCAAAUGCAUCUUCUAGUAUAAUUGUUUUUAAUUAUUAUAUUUUUUUUACAUAUUGAUCAAUAACUUACUUUGAGAUUUGUAAGUGAAGAUGACCAGCAGAUAUUUAAGUAAUUAUUUUUUAUUAACAAACAAAAAAAUGACAAUAUUUAAGUGUAGAACAUAUGCAAAAUUGAAAGAAUAAAUACAAUUAGCCAUAAAGGGAAGUGACUGUCCACAA